AAGUCGUAACAAGGUUUCCGUAGGUGAACCUGCGGAAGGAUCAUUAGUGAAUACAAACGCUUGGGUGUCUCUGCUUUGGCAAGCCCCUUGCACCCUUCACAUCCGUAACACCUGUGCACUGUAAGAUGUGGUCAACCGAGUAUUGUGGUGGUCGUCCCCUCGUGGGCGAUCUCUGUGUGCUCGGAGCCCGUCUUCCCAUUUUAACAAACAAUCUUGUAGCAAAUGUCGAGUUUAUUAUAUAACCUGAUAAAACUUUCAACAACGGAUCUCUUGGCUCUCGCAUCGAUGAAGAACGCAGCGAAACGCGAUAGGUAAUGUGAAUUGCAGAAUUCAGUGAAUCAUCGAAUCUUUGAACGCACAUUGCGCUCCUGGGUAUUCCGAGGAGCAUGCCUGUUUGAGUGUCAUGAAAUACAUCAACCUUGACUUGGGUCUCAGUGCCCUCGGCUCGGAUUGGACUUGGGUGCUUGUGGUGCCUCGUGGUGCUGCUCACCUCAAAAGGAUUAGCUGGACUUGUCUUGAGACCUGGUUUGACUUGGUGUAAUAAAGUAUUUCGCCGAGGACACCCCUUGUGGGUGGCCAGACCUUGCCGACGUGAUGUCUGCUCUCUAACCCUGGUGGUCGGCCUCGUGCCUUCCCCAACGCACUUUUAUGAUCUGGCCUCAAAUCAGGUAGGACUACCCGCCGAACUUAAGCAUAUCAAUAAGCGGAGGAAAAGAAACUAACCAGGAUUCCCCUAGUAACGGCGAGUGAAGCGGGAAGAGCUCAAAUUUGAAAUCUGGUGUCCUCUGGGCGUCCGAGUUGUAAUCUAUAGGAACGUUUUCUGUGCCGGCUCAUGUACAAGUCCCUUGGAACAGGGUGUCAUAGAGGGUGAGAAUCCCGUACUUGACAUGAACUACUGGUGCUUUGUGAUGCGUCUCCAACGAGUCGAGUUGUUUGGGAAUGCAGCUCAAAAUGGGUGGUAAAUUCCAUCUAAAGCUAAAUAUUGGCGAGAGACCGAUAGCGAACAAGUACCGUGAGGGAAAGAUGAAAAGCACUUUGGAAAGAGAGUUAAACAGUAUGUGAAAUUGUUGAAAGGGAAACGAUUGAAGUCAGUCGUAUCCUCCGGAUUCAGCCGGUUCUGCCGGUGUACUUCCCGUUGGAUGGGGUCAACGUCAGUUUUGGAUGCCGGAUAAAGGCUGGAGGAAGGUAGCACCCCUGGGUGAACUUAUAGCCUCCUGUCGCAUACGGUGACCGGGACUGAGGAACGCAGCUUGCCUUUAUGGCCGGGGUUCGCCCACGUACAAGCUUAGGAUGUUGACAAAAUGGCUUUAAACGACC
rnacentral:rRNA from 1 species